rnacentral:rRNA from 1 species
ACAGGGAAUUGCCCUAGUAACGGCGAGUGAACAGGCAAGAGCUCAGAUUUGAAAGGCACUUUUGUGCCGUUGUAUUCUGAAGUUAGGGUCCUGAGAAACGAUGCUUAAGUCUUCUGGAAAGGAGCGCCAUGGAGGGUGAUAGCCCCGUCUAGCAUUGACCUCAUAUAGGAUCUUAACAUGGAGUCGAGUUGUUUGGGAAUGCAGCUCAAAUGGGUGGUAUGCUCCAUCUAAAGCUAAAUAUCUGCGAGAGACCGAUAGUAAACAAGUACUGUGAGGGAAAGAUGAAAAGAACUUUGAAAAGAGAGUGAAAAAGUACGUGAAAUUGUUGAAAUGGAAGGGUAGGCCGCUAACCAUGUAGAGCCGUGUUUGGGGGGAAGAUAAAUGCUGUAGAAUGUAGCUCCUCGGAGUAUUAUAGAUGCAGUUCAUAUUCCCACCCGAGCGCGAGGAUCUCAGGUUCUACUAAAUGGUGGUCUACCACCCGUCUUGAACC